rnacentral:rRNA from 1 species
UACGUAGGGUGCAAGCGUUGUCCGGAAUUAUUGGGCGUAAAGAGCUCGUAGGCGGUCUGUCGCGUCGGCUGUGAAAACCCGGGGCUCAACCCCGGGCCUGCAGUCGAUACGGGCAGACUAGAGUGUGGUAGGGGAGACUGGAAUUCCUGGUGUAGCGGUGAAAUGCGCAGAUAUCAGGAGGAACACCGGUGGCGAAGGCGGGUCUCUGGGCCAUAACUGACGCUGAGGCGCGACAGCGUGGGGAGCAAACAGG